rnacentral:rRNA from 1 species
AACGAACGCUGGCGGCAGGCUUAACACAUGCAAGUCGAACGCCCCGCAAGGGGAGUGGCAGACGGGUGAGUAACGCGUGGGAAUCUACCCAUCCCUACGGAACAACUCCGGGAAACUGGAGCUAAUACCGUAUACGCCCUACGGGGGAAAGAUUUAUCGGGGAUGGAUGAGCCCGCGUUGGAUUAGCUAGUUGGUGGGGUAAAGGCCUACCAAGGCGACGAUCCAUAGCUGGUCUGAGAGGAUGAUCAGCCACAUUGGGACUGAGACACGGCCCAAACUCCUACGGGAGGCAGCAGUGGGGAAUAUUGGACAAUGGGCGCAAGCCUGAUCCAGCCAUGCCGCGUGAGUGAUGAAGGUCUUAGGAUUGUAAAGCUCUUUCACCGGUGAAGAUAAUGACGGUAACCGGAGAAGAAGCCCCGGCUAACUUCGUGCCAGCCGCCGCAGUAAUAC